GUUUUAAUAAUUUAAAAAAAAUACUGAUCUUGUAAAUCAGAAAUAAGCCCAGCUUUUAAAACU
rnacentral:tRNA from 1 species